rnacentral:lncRNA from 1 species
GAAUAUGAGUUUUCUUUUCCUAUCAUUUCAUGACUGAUUGAAAGACUGCCUUAGGCACUCUUAACUAGGUUUCUGUUCUUCUUUUGAGCUCAGGCUCCUGAAUUAGUCACAAUGUGGCUCAGGGAUGUACAGGGGGCACAGACUGUGGGAGGUCCUAGAACUCACACAGAAGGGUCUGAACUUGACCCAAGAGACAUACCCCAAGGCGUGAGAGCUCCUGAAACAGGACAGGGUUUUAUGCAAGCUGUGUUUCAUAGUGAUCAUCUUUAUCUAUGUAAAUUCACAUUGUGGAUAAUUGUUCCUCUGAGAGACCAACUGGAAAGAUUGUAAGAAUUUCAGUAAAUAUCGAAGCCCUAAGCCAAGAUGGAGCUGGGGGAAAACAGCAACAUGUUGAGACAAUCUAAAGGGAAGAAACCAAAAUGUUAUAGGCGUUUGAUUUUGAAAAAGAAGCAGGAGGCACUUCUGGCCCCUAGUCUCAUCUCUAGGAAAAGUUGUGUUAGACCCAAUCCAGGCUAAUUACUUGUUCUCUCCUAAUGGUGAAAAGUGUAUGGAAAGAAGGGCACACAAAGUCCUUUUCAGAAACUGAAGGCAUCGUAUUAUUAGUCAAAUCCCCUUUGAUUAAAAGAAGGACAUGCUCUUUGUCCUCAAUGGGGGAUGAACACUGAACAUGUACAAACUAGCAGAAAGGAGGUCUUUACUGAUUUAUUGUCCAAACAAGUCCUGAAAAAGACUGAGAGGGCAGUCAGCACUUUGAACUAAGUGCUGGGAAAAUGGCCUUGGCCUUUUCUUCCUGAAAAUGUACCACUCGACCUUGACUGCCAGGUUGUACGACACAAGAAAGCACAGACACUGAAGAGAGAGGCUCCCUUGGAGCCUAAAGUCCAUGACUGUGACCAUUCACUUGCAUGUCCAGAAACGGUGCCUCUGUGAGUGCAGAGCCAGCUGCUGUUCACAGCACUCAGUGCAGUCCUGCCUUGCUGCAGGUCAGCCAACGUAUGCGAAGGAUGCUGUGUGAGGACCCUGGGGGAGGGGGGAGUCUCUGAUAUCACUUGAGGGACCCUAUACCACACCAAGGUCCACACAGCAUCUUGUGAGCAGAAAUGAGGAAAGAGGAGAGACUUCAAUGGGCUGCAGAGGUCAGCACAAACAUGCAAAGCAGAAGCAUAUUUGUCUUUUUUCUUAUCAUCAAAUCUCUUUGAAGUGUAAAGGUAACAUUAAAAUUCUUAAAAGGUUCUGGUCAUAAUAAACAGUGCUAUUUUUAAACUGAGAUUUGCAUUACCAUGUAUUUGCAGUUAUAGUGUUGUUUUAAAAUUGUAUCAUAAUGGGAGUUCCCCUCCUGGCUCAGUGGUUAAUGAAUCCACUAGGAACCAUGAGGUUGUGGGUUCCGUCCCUGGCCUUGCUCAGUGGGUUGAGGAUCCGGUGUUGCCAUGAGCUGUGGUGUAGGCUCGGAUCCUGUGUUGCUGUGGCUCUGGUGUAGGCCAGCGGCUACAGCUCCAAUUUGACCCCUAGCCUGGGAACCUCCAUAAAGAUAGCAGAGGAGGAAGCACCAGGAAUUGGUCUCCCCAACUAGGAAACACACUGGCAGAAUCUGUCUAAUGCUACUAACUAGGAACUCUUGGAGUCUAUUGAAGGCUUGCAACAUCUAGAGGAAGACUCCCACAAUACAUUGUGGUUAAUUUGGGUCAAUUUCAGCUCCUAACACAGUAGCAAGUACCAAUCUCCUAUUCCCCUGCUCAGGGUACACAGCAGUUUACAUGCUUUCUGAACAGUUUGAACGCAGCUUGCAGGAGCCAUGGUGGGCAAAAAGGACCCUGUUCUCCAAAUAUUGGAACUCUCUGCUCUGAUCACUGAUUGCUCUUCUGAUCACAGAGUGCAGACAAAGAGACAGUGACCGUGGUUGUUGCCCCUCACCUCAUGGUUGAAAGCCCCUCUCUCUCUGGAUGAACUGACAUCCAUGCGAUUUAGAGGGAUGGUGCCUUUUCCUCCUCUUUGUUUUACUCUUUCCCCCUUUGGGGAGACAGACAUUGAAGACUAGGAUAGGAAAAAGCAAUUACAUAUAUGAGGAAAAUACGAAAGUCACUACACAACCCCAAGAUAAGGUAUGGACUCAGAAAAGACUUGAAGAGACCUUAUAUUUACC